ACAGCUUGGCAUUGGGCCGUCGCCCGCGAACCCUCCGGGGACGCGGGCGUGCCCCAAAGGAUUCCCGGCGAGGUCGAAUCCACCCUGGGCGUAGUAAAUCAUUCAACGUCGAGCGGGUGGGAGAGACUUUGGCCGUCGAAACACCAAAACAUCGUAACAAGGUUGACCUCGGAUCAGGUAGGGAUACCCGCUGAACUUAA
rnacentral:misc_RNA from 1 species